rnacentral:tRNA from 1 species
GCCUCAGUAGCUCAGCGGUACGAGCGGUCGCCUAGUAAGCGACAGGUCGAGAGUUCAAUCCUCUCCUGAGGCU